CUGCAGACCCCCUGGGCAGGAAUACCCAGAAGCCUCUACCUGCAGACUCCUGGGCAGGAAUAUCCAGAAGCCUCUACCUGCUGACCCCCUGGGCAGGAAUAUCCAGAAGCCUUUACCUGCCGACCCACUGGCAGGAAUACCCAGAAGCCUCUACCUGCAGACCUCCUGGGCAGGAAUAUCCAGAAGCCUCUACCUGCUGACCCCCUGGGCAGGAAUAUCCAGAAGCCUUUACCUGCCGACCCACUGGGCAGGAAUACCCAGAAGCCUCUACCUGCCUACCCCCUGGGCAGGAAUACCCAGAAGCCUUUGCCUGCUAACCCUAACUCCCCCGGAAGGAGUGGUCAUCUGAUUCGUAGCCCCAUUGCUGUCGGAGUCCCCAUCCCUGUACCUGUCCCCGGUGUACCUGUCCCCGGUGUCCCCAUCCCUGUACCUGUCYCCGGUGUCCCCAUCCCUGUACCUGUCUCCGGUGUCCCCAUCCCUGUACCUGUCYCCRGUGUCCCCAGGCCGCUGAGACCUGUUCCACACCACAACAGGUCUGUUCCUAAGCAACCCCCAACACUACCUAAGCCUCGUAUGAUCGUCCACGCCAAGUUCAGCAGCUGAGAGCAGCUGGAUUAAACUGAAGGGAAUUUAAAGGACGUUCUUUCUGUAAAACGAUAAAGACAUUUCACUUGCACUAUGAAACCUUAAGAUGUGGUGUCUCUGAGUUUUGAAUAAUGGGGACGGACCGUUGGGCGGUUGGCGUGUCAGCGAGUCAGUCCCCCCCCCCGUUGGUGCUCUGAUGUCAGAGGUGCUAUAGGUCUGAGCUCAGGUACAUGUAUGUAAAGUAUUUAUGUUUUGUGUAUUUAUUAAUUAGUUACCACACAGUGCACUGUACCAGACACUUGGGAUUAAAUUUGUAGUCUUUGAUWAUUUUUUAUUUGUUUUCUACUGUUAGCCAUUUGAUUUCAAUCAUGGGGAUAUUUUAACCUGUUUUGAUGGACAGGAAGCCAGGGGAAAAGUACAACUUAACAAAGCCUGUCUCUGGAGGUCUGGGAAGUUGUAAAGACCCUAACAUGGCGAUCAAUGAAAUGGAUUCAGAACAAAGGGAAAGACGACUACAAACAUCAGAAAGGGCGACUUUCAUCCGCACUUGGGUUGACGGACUCGGGUUGACGGACUUGGGUUGACGGACUCGGGUUGACGGACUCGGGUUGACGGACGUGGGUUGACGGACUCGGGUUGACGGACUUGGGUUGACGGACUCGGGUUGACGGACUUGGGUUGCGUAUGACGCCACCUGCUGUAAGACAAUGGCAUCAGUGGUAAAUCCUGCCGCAGGUCUUCCUCCAUCCAGUAUACAGCCAGCUGUUUCUCCCUCUGUGACCGUACUAUGUAUGCACUGAUGCUGAGAGACUGAGCCCUGAGGAACACCAAUAACAACCUUACACCAACCUUACAACAACCAUACACAAACCUAACACACACCACCCUUACACCAGCUAUAUACCAAUCUUUCACCAACUAUAUACCAACCAUACACCAACCUUACACAAGCUAUACACCAAUCUUUCACCAACCUUUCACCAACCUUACACCAGCUAUACACCAAUCUUUCACCAACUAUACACCAACCUUUCACCAACCUUACACAAGCUAUACACAAUCUUUCACCACAUAUACACCAACCUUACACCAGCUAUACACCAAUCUUUCACCAACUAUACACCAACCUUUCACCAACCUUACA